UUUAUGAAGCCAGAUUUGCUUGAUAACACCGAUAAUAGACGUAAUGGAAGUCAAGUAACACAUAUGAAAGCUUAAUAGCUCUUGCGAUGAUACGCAUAAUGGAUCUUUGACGGCCAUUUACUUGCCACUACUAUACAGUAUGUAGCAAUAGGCAAGAAUUCGCUUUUACUAAUAAAUAAGCUUAAAUAAAUUGUAGCUUUUAUUGAAAUUUUGAAAAAAAUACGAAAUAAAGAUUGUUGUUAUUAGAAUGGAGCUAAAUAUAAUAUAGUCUUGGAAAACGAUAAUAUACCGAUGCGCGGUGUUAAUGGAACGUAGCAGACGUACAGAAGUCCAUUAGUUCACAAUGAGUUUGUGGAAUUCUUACACUAAUGCAUGUAUCUAUUGCGUGUAUAUCCCUAAUUGGUAAUUGACACAUGCGACCUUAAUGCGACUCGCAGCUGUUAGUGUUUCAAUAAAGCUUGUUAACUUCCUAAACGUUGCACUUUCUGAACACAGCAUCGGGGCAAACUGCUCGUUUCUCUAUGUUUUCCUUCGAUAAAUAAGCAAAUUAAUUUUGCUACGCUAUUCACAUUUUUUCGAUAGAAACAUUUGUGAGACAUUUAUUUAUCAUAUUUACAUAUUUACUAAUGUAUUUAGCAGCGAUUAUGGAAUAUCAAAUGUUUGAAUUUGGCGCUGUUUGCAUUAGUAUCGCCUGAUGAGUCACAGAUGUCAGAGCCAUACGGAAAUCAAUUUCAAUUCGAGAAAGUGAACUGUGUACCAUGUUACCGGGUAAUAUGAAUAGUCAGGGAUCAGUAAAUCGUGGGAGAACAAAGCGAAAGACACUAAAGGAUUUAAUGAAACACCAUUCCAGGAAUACGAACAAUAAUUACGUAUCACGGAUAUAGGCUUGCGUAAACACUACACCUCAUUAGCUACCGAUCAGGAAAUUAAGCGCGUUCCUUUCACACAAGUAAUGACAUAGAACAUCAAACAAGACCGCGAAAAUUACAAUGAGAAAGUACGAUUACGCGACCCGUGAUGUUAAUGUUGGUAUACAUAUUUCCAUCGAUAGGUUCAUACGAUUGAAAUAUUAAAAAAAAAA
rnacentral:lncRNA from 1 species